rnacentral:rRNA from 1 species
GUAGGUGGCAAGCGUUGUCCGGAUUUACUGGGCGUAAAGAGCGCGCAGGCGGUCGUUCAAGUCGAGUGUGAAAGCCCCCGGCUCAACUGGGGAGGGUCACUCGAUACUGAUCGACUCGAAGGCAGAAGAGGGAAGCGGAAUUCCCGGUGUAGUGGUGAAAUGCGUAGAUAUCGGGAGGAACACCAGUGGCGAAGGCGGCUUUCUGGUCUGCUCUUGACGCUGAGGCGCGAAAGCUAGGGUAGCAAACGGGAUUAGAUACCCCGGUAGUCCUAGCCGUAAACGAUGGACACUAGGUGUUGGUGGUAUCAACCCCGCCAGUGCCGAAGCUAACGCAUUAAGUGUCCCGCCUGGGGAGUACGGCCGCAAGGCUA